CAUCUAUGAUCUUGCUAUUGUGUGUACUUGUUUUGCUUGCUGGAUGUCGUAGUAUUUUAAAUCAGUGUCAUUCCCUUCUUGGAGUGAAACUCAAGGUCAAAGCUUAGUACAGUGUUCCUCCAUAGUAGUCACUAUUCAAGUAGGUUUAAAAAAUUACUGUAAUUACCUCAAGUAACUUAAAUUUAACUCACUGCACUUUCUUUAAAACCUUCCCUUUAUACUUAAUCAAAUUCUGAAGUGGAACUAAGAAGGAUGGGCUUCAUUUGACUUUGUCAAAUUCCCUCCAGUGCUACAACCACAACUGAGUGUGUUAUAACAAUUUACUUGGACAUCUGCGUGUGCCGAUGUCUCUUGUCAUCAAAGCUGUGUUUUGGCUUACUGAGACAACUAAAUGGCACAAACUGUGUUCCUACAUUUGUGCCCAACAUAAUCUCCAGAGCUCUGAACACAUUUAUCUUCUGGCUGGCCAGCCAGACCUGGUCAGGUUAGCUGAUGGCAGCAGGCAGAACUUUCAGGCAUUCAAAAGCAGCUUAAUAUCCAGCUCCAGGCACUGGAUGGAGACCACCUUGGAGGGACUUGGUUUUAGGGCAGCCGCAGGAAAAUAAAGUGUUCUUUCAAUAAAUAAUUAGGAGGGCGUGUUAAUGCUAUACAGAGCAGAGCAGAGUUGUCUGUGUCAGUUCCUUCUGUUAAUUUGUGGAACUCAUUUAGGACCAGUUGAACUGUGCCAAAAUACAUCAGAUACAAAAAUACAAAAUACAAAAUACAAUGUCCUUACAUGAGUGGAGCUACUGGGGGCUUGACCAGUAGCAUGUCAUCUGAGGAUCUGCUUCUCCUGGAUAGUACAGAUGAUGUCAAAAAGUUCAGUAGUAUGUUUUUAAUUAUUAUUUUCUUAGAAGCCUCAAAAGAACGUAGGUGAAAUGGUGGCAUAAUGAUGACAGCUGGAGAGGGGGCACUUGUGUUCAAACUCAUAUAGCCACUACUGGCAAGCUGAAAGAUGUUCUUACUCCCUCACAAACAGAGUUAGGGGCUAAUUAUAGACCCACUGAUGUAAUCAGAACAUUCUGACCCACCAUUAUAGUCCUAAUCAUAGUUGUAAGUUUGGUAAAUUAGAAAGUCUGUUUUUCUUGCUUCCUGCAUAAAAAUUCAAUUUCAGAAUAACAUUUUGCGUUAUUUCAGGGACGUUGCAGGGCUCUAAAGGUGAUUAAAAUUACUCAGUCAUCAGCAGCAUGACUUGUAACACACCCAAAGGCUGGUUUUAAUAGUAUUGCUUCAUUUUGUUACUUGUCUUGAAAAUUCCUUUGCUGGAGGUGAGAUGUGGUCUAGGGAACUUCAAGUGUUAGACUGAAAAAUCAGACUUUGUGUAGCUACUACAGCCUGCUGUCUAUUUUGUUAAAAUCUUGGUGGGAAGGGGAAAAUGAGGAGUGAGGGCAGCCUGGGGGCACUGAGUCCUGUGUGGAGCAUGGAGCAGUGUGGGUACUGCAGCACUGUGCUCUCUGGAGCACUGUCCAAAGCAGGAUCCACAGCAGAGGAAUCUGUGCAGCUCUGUGACUUCACUGUGGAAAUCCAAGCUUAGUCAUCAUGUGUUUGAUGGCGCAUGGACUUUGUGCACUGUUUUUACCAGGUAAGUGCACCAAGUCUGGCGCCUUAUACUUAAACCCAUGUUUUUGCAAGAGAACUUUGUUCUCAGAGCAGUUGACUGAACUGUUUCAAGGCAAACCCAAACUUUCACUGUAGUCUGUACUGUCAAAGGUUGUUAAAGCCAGAUUAUUUAGCUGCUCACCCUAGGUUCCCUUUGGUCUUUUCUGGGAAGAGUUUAUCUAGUCCCUUCCCAAAGUGUUUUCUGCUUGGAGCCCAGGUCUCUUCAUGUCUGUUUUGUGUGAACAGUGUUUUGGACUCAGAGCAGAACUGAGAAUGGAAGGGCAGGAGCCAAAUGUUCAAGUUUCUUCGGCCUGCAGGGGCAGAAUUGGCACAUGGACGACCAGGGCAUCACAUGUGAGGUCAACACCAGAGUAACAUCAGCCUGUUAACAUGCUUUGAGUUUGGGUGGUGGUGCAAACAUGCAAGUAGGUGGUGAUGUUGCCCAUUCACUCAGAGAUAAGCUGGGCUUUCCUGGCACAGCCCAGAUGCAGAGACAAAACCUCCAGGUCUUGAGUGUGUUUUGAUCCGGUGUUGCAAACUGAGACCUGAUGCACACUGAGAGGUGAGCUGUCAUAGCAGUAUGCAUGGAUGGAAAACAGGAUCCCAGAGGAUUUUACCUUCUUGGAAGACAAAUGACAUGUACUACUGUUCUGUUUUGUGGGUUAGUUUGGGAGUUGUUUGUUUGUUUGUUUGUUUGUUUGUUUGUUUGUUUGUUUGUUUUAUAGGAUCAAAAGCAGUGAAUAAAGAGGGAAGCCAGAACAGUGUUUGAAGUUGGAAGUCAGUACUUGGGAAUCAGAUAUCAGAGAUAUCAGGCAUGAUGCUGGAGGGGGUGAGGGAGAACAGCAGAGAUGGUGAAUAACCUUCAGAGGAAAAGGCUCUGGGUGACAUAACCACAUUUCAGAGAAGAUGUAAUACUUAAGGGGCAAGAGGGGCAGUAGAAAAUGUCAGAAGCUUUUGAGAGAGCAGAAGAUAACAGUAUUUUCCCCAGCCACCACUUAGAGAUAAGCUUCUCUUUAGGAAAGAAUCAGAAAUAUUUAAAAUUUAUGUGAUGUGCAUUAAAUAAAGUGCAUUUUCAGCCAAAUUUUAAACAUGGUCAGAAGCUUUUCAAAGCUUUGUAAUCUUUCAAAUUAUAAAUCAGUGUUUUUACACUGUAUUAAACUCCCAGCCUUUGUGAUAAGCCACCAAAUAAAGGACUAGAAGCCAGCAAAUAUUUCUUGCUUAAAAUUUCAGAAGUUCUGCAUUCUUUCUCAAAAGACUGAAAAAGUUGAUUCCCAAAUUCGGUUCAACUGGUGUGGAUAACUGCUGUUUGGAUCUAUAGGGUUUAAUUAUUUGGUGAAAAGUUGAGAAGUUGGUGGUAAAAAGACACUUGAAAGGUAUGUUUGUUUAGCAAAGUGAAACAAAAGAUACACUAAAAAUAAAAGGGAAACUGCUCUGUUUAGUUGCUCUGUCCCAAAUAAAAUGUGGAAAGUAAGCCAGCUGCAUAAUGGACUAAAUGCAGAGCUAAAAACUUCUGGCAUUUCAUUGCAAAUGUCAUGAUUCUGUCAUGUAUUUCAUAAAGCUGUGGCUCAUUUAAAGUCAUGACUGUGAAAAUUUCUACUUAUUGUCAUUUCAAGUUUUUAAUCUGAAUUGCAUGAAAAUUGAAAAUAUGCUCUAAAAACUCUAGAAAUCCAAAGCAAAGGAAAAAAACAAAUGCAAAUUAUCUUCAGUAAAAAAGAUAAUUUGGGGUUUUUUUAAGUGGUCAUAAAACCUUGGGGUAUGUAUCUGAGUGCUGUAUGUGAGUAACCUGUGUUUGAGUGCUACAUUUCACCAACAACUUCAAAGUGAUUAUCCAGCCUCAAGAGGAAUAUUUGCUAAUAUGACCAGGUCAAUAUGAGGGUGAUUCCACUGCAUGACUUCGCUGCCAUAUGAAUUUCCCAACAUGUAACUUAAAACUUCAUUCUUGCAGAUAAACCUUUUUUUUACUACGCUUUUUGAGGUGAACCUGAUCACCAUCCUCCUCUCAAUUUUUUUUCUGUUUUUCAUAUUAGGGAAAUAGUUGUCACUUAUUCCUUGAUAUUCAGGUCCUAGAUGAAAUCUAAGUUCUUCCACCUUGCCUUAUGUCAUGUUUUGUAGGUCUAUAUAAUUUUUAUUGCUCAAUGUUUAACUGGGUUAGAGGCACCUGGAUGAGAUCUUGCAAUAGCAAAGUUGCACAGAAUAACCACUGCCCACUUCUUAGGAAUGUUGUUUGCAUUUUUAAUGCAAACCAAAAAGAGUUUUGCCCUCUUGCAAAAAGUGUAUUGAUUGUGAAUUGUAUGUGGUUUGUCAUAUGGUGUAACUCCAAAUCCCCCAAGAUCAUCUACAGUUUGUGAUAGUACUAAAAGUAACAAAAAAAUUUACCUUUUUUAAAGUGAGUUGGCUUAAAAAUAACAAAAUCCAUUUUAACUCUCUGCUUUAAAAAAAAGGGGGUUGGGGGCAGGGAGGAGAAUUAUUUUUUUGGGUGGAGAGCUUUUAUUUCUAGCUUCAUACCAAAGCAAAUUUUUAUGGCUGAGUUAUAAACCCCUGAAAAUUGCAGUUCAUAAUGGAAACAUUGGCAGACAUUGAACGGCACUGCUGUAAAGUAGUAUGAAGCUUUAAGUUUUUCCACUUUUAGACCUGGAAUAAAACUAAAUUACAACACUUUCCAUACAAGCAUUUGAUUUUCCCCCCAGUAAUUUCUGGUGGAUCUGUCCCGUGUUUCCUGACUUCCUAUAUUGCCAUUGGACUUUUUCAUAUUGACUCUGCAAUUGGUUUCGUUCAAUCGGUAGAUUUACCAAUGGAGAUGCUCAAAGUGUUUUUUUCUGUGGCAGAGGGUGCUGGGGAAUGUAAUGCUGGCUUGAGGAAAGUUACACUGAAGAUUUAUGGAAGAAAUUUACAGCAAAUGGGGUUGGAAUGAGCGUUAUGGGACUCACAAAACACGUGAAGUGAUAAGGGUUCUUACAAUAUUGUUCUGCAGAAUAGAAACGUUGUGUCAGACUCCAUUCAAACCCAUUGACCAAGUGGAUGAAAAGCACUUCAAGAUGGUAAUGUCUGGAUUGUUGUUCUUUUCAAAGGCAGAAGAAACAGAGCAGCAAUAUGAUUUUUCACAGCAUUGCAAUAUGCUAGAGAAUUCCAACAGGAGCAAUUUUAUCUGAAAGUGGAUGUGAAAGCAAAAAGCAGAAUGGAAAUCAGCAAGUGGACAUGGCUUUUUUCUGGAAUUAUUCCUGGAGCCAUUUCUUAUACUGGCGCAGGCUGCAGGAAGCUGAAGAUCAACAUGUGGGUUAUUUAUAGCCAUUUGCAGAUGAUCUGUUUAGCUACUUCAGUCCUUAGGGCAAGACUUGCAACACCACUCAUUUGGCCCCUUGGUAUUCCUGUUACAAACUAUGGGACCAGGGCAUAGGCAAAUAAUGUAGCCUUGCUUUUCUGGUUUGGGUCCCUCCUUGAAGAUGAAAUGUUUUGUUUAUUAUUAUUGCUUUUACUGCAUUCCAAUGGAUUUGUGGUGCUUUCUGGCAUGAACAAGUCAGGGACAUGGCAUAUUCUUAGCAGGUUUGUAUUUAGCUAUUUUAUAUGGGCAGUUUUGCCUUCAGCCCUGUAACAACUUCCCAGGCUCUUGGGGCAGUUGGACUUCUGGAGUUCUCCUUGAGCAGCAGGUAAACUUCUUUGGACUGUAAUGGGAAUGAUUUUAAAUCAAGAUACAAGAGACAGGUGCCUGAACAUUAGCCUUAAGGUCAUAGAUAAGGACCCUUUUAAUAGGAUCCAGAUCAGAAGAUAAACACUCCUGUCCAGACAUGGCUGAAAGUUGUACCUACCUUUUGCCAGAAGUUACAGUACCUGUAGGUCUUCACUGGAUGGAAGUGCAGGAGAGCUCCAUAACCUGCUGCAGGAAAAGUUCUUUAGACCUCACCGAGGAGCUGAGCUAUUCCAGCUGACUUUGUAGGUGAAUUCCAGCAGCUGCAUCUGAAAAGCUGUGUAGUGUUGAGACCCCAGUAAGGAAAGUGAUGAACUGGAGCAAGUCCAGAGAAGAGCUGUUACAAUGGUUAGAAGGCCAGAGCAUGAGAGGUUCUAAGAACUAUUGAACCAGAUGGAACCUGGUUUCCUUAGUUAUGGGUGGUUGAGGGGAUCCAGUUGCCAUCAUCCAUUAUCCAAGGAAGUUUCUGGAGAUUUUUUCAGACUCUCAGAAAGACACCAUAGCAGACAGACAAGAGGCAAUGAUCAUGAUUUGUAACAAAGGAAAUUGUGUUUGGAUACAAGGAAUGUAUCUUCAUCAUGAGAGUGGCAAAGCACCAUGAAAAAUCAAUCCCUCCUUGAGGCUUUUCGAACCUCAACCAGACCAGACCCCACACUGAAAAAGGUGUUGCUCUGAGGAAGUUGGAGUAGCUGACCUCCUUAGGUCUCUUCCAACCUAUUUUUUUCCUAUGAACCUGAAUUCAUUUUACCAAAAGGAGCAUCAGUAUGGAAGAAAAGAAGUAGCAGAAUUGAGGAAUUGAGAAACAGGCAGGUAUGUAUAUGACCAAAUGAGAAAAACAGGCUUCCAGCUAUUUACUUUUAGUGGUUUAGUUUUCCUUUGGAAAAUAAAAUUAGGAAUAAUCUGAAAGAGAGAAAUACAGUUAAAUCAGAAGAGCUUAGUAUUUUUAGCUCCUGUUUUUCAGAAGUAAACCAUUGUUUUAGAAGAGUAUAUUUCCAUUACAAAGCAGAGAAUGAUUGUAAUGUUUUCUUAAUAUGCAGUGAAAACUACAAAAAAUAAGCUCUGCAAGCCUUUGUGUAAAUGUGUGUGUAUUAACUAUAAAUAAACUGAUGUAUGCAUUUUCAGUCAAUGUACAUAAUUUUACAUCUUAAAAAUUGUGAGCAUGGAGAUGUCAAAUAGGAUGUCAAAAGAUUAUAUAGCAUUAUGAAAACUAGGGUGGGUUUUUUUUUGUUUGCUUCACCUGAAGGACAGUUGUGGAGGGUAAGAAACAUGGAGAACUGGGCUUUUGCUAAUACCUCCUCACUACAGCAAUCAGCCUUGUCACUUUGCAUUGGUUUUACUCUAAAGCUUGCCAAAGAGAUCACCUGUCCUAUAAUACAGUCAGACUUGAUCAGAUUAAUAAUUAACCAGGGACAGUAAUAGUUGCUCAGUGGUGCUCAUGGUAGAGUCUGUCUUGUACAGGAAGCAUAUUUGGGAGCAGAAACCAGGUCUUCUCUGGGCUGGUCCAACUCACUUUCCUCUGGCCUGCUCUGUGUAUUUGUUGUUAAUACAAGAACCAAAAUCAACUGAAAGCAGAUAACCUUGUGGUAUAGCAUCCUGAUUGUUUUUAAACACUGAUAAGGGCACUUUGUAAGAUUAGCUUUUGAUAUGUAGCUGUUUACAUUUGGAAGAGACUGAGAGAUGCUAAUGUCCCUUCUGGCAUUUGUAGAUAUUUUGUUUUCUAAGAUUUGUGGAUUUUACAUAGCAUAAGAUCAAGCAAUAACAGAGCUGUGACACGCAGGAUUGCUGUUGAGUUACAGAAUGAGUCUUUAGUCUCCAAGCAAGUUGCUUACUUUGCAAGUCAGUGUCUGCUCUCUUCAGUGACUCCUUUGACAUAAAGAGUCAUCACUUUGGAUGGAAGAUUCUGUAAAAAAAGCACAGCGGAGUUGCAUCUGUGAGUGGAUGAAAGAAGCCUUCUAGUUGGGAUUUCUUUUCUGCUCAGUUUUUGCUACCUAAAGUCAUUCACUAAACUCUUCGACUCAAGCUCCACCAGCUUCAAUUACUUUCUCCAAAGGAAGAAAAUUCUGGGAACCUCACAGGAUUUUCAGGCUCUGUGGAUCUCUGUACUGGUAAUAGAAAUCUGUCACCUUCAUUUUGUCAUUCUGAAAUAUCAGCAAUAUCUUCUCUAAACUAAAUAAAUUUGUGUUGCCCUGGGAACCAGCUGGUUGCACACAUUGCUUUCUGACUCCUUUGAAAUCCACAUGUUCCCUCAAAAUCAUUAAUUAGAUUUGCCACUGUACCUUACCAUAAUUCUGUAACUACUUGGUAUGAUGCAGAAGAAAGCUUCUAGCACAUUGGUUCUGCAUGUUUUUGAAACAGACUUACACAUAAGUGGUGCAAAUGAAGGAUAAGUUGAGCAAAAAAUAUUUCAAAUAAGAAUUAGAAAACAUCACUAUAAACACAUCACUUUUUUUUUUUUUUUGAAAGUUGUAGAAAAGCAGGGAUUAUAAAUGCCUCAAUUUUCCAUAUAAUUUCCCUUUCUGCCAUGUAAUGCACUCAUCUGUACUGGAUAUUUUGUGUGCUCUCUCUAGCUGCAUCAUUUGCUUACUGCUGGAAUCUCACUUUUUUAGUUGCUUUGGGUCAGCAUUAAGCAACUGUUCUCCUUGUCAUUGGUCUUACAAAUAUAAGCCAGAGUCAUGGCUUAUGCAUAGGAUUUCUCCAGCAAAUAAAGAAAUUAGAUUGAAAUCUAAUUAAUUGCAGUAGCCAUGUUACCAAACAGAUGUACAUAGGUGAAUUCUUUUCCCAGCAUUAAGCACGAGUGGGGCAACUCUGAGGCUUGGAUGUUUUCUUUCAUCUCGGCAAGUGCUCAAGGCCAGGUUGUGGUUUUAAGCAACCUGGUCUAGUGGAAGGCAGUCCCCGCCCAUGACAGGAGGGUUGGAACUAAAUGAUAUUUAAGGUCCCUUCAAAAACAAACCAUUCUAUGAUUCAUUUCUUGACCAAAACCAAUUUUCAUCCAUUGAUUACUGUGGAACAGUGUUUUAAAACAAAACCACACUCAUCCACUUACAGCAACCCUUCAAAACAUUAAGGUCUGUGGAACAGGAUCUUUCCUGGUUAGGUUAAAGUAGUCACACUCCCUUCUGUCAUAAAGUUCUGGUGCAACAUAGACAUGUAAAAGAAAACACUGGCAAGCACAGAAGCAUCACCAUAGACUGUAUAACAGUGAUGGUCCUCAGACUGAACUUGGAUCCCAUUGUUUUCCCCUCAUUCCAAGAAUGAUCAGGACCUGUCCUUUAAAAAUGGUGAAGGAGGACAUAAUUUUAAUUUGUCUUGUGUUCUUUUACCUCAUUUCACCAAGAGGCAAGCUUAGACAUGAGCUUAGCCAUGUUUGAUUUUGGCUUUCAUUUCUCUUCCAUUUUUAAACUGUGAUAGCCUGCUUUGUGUUAGAGUUUAUCAUUGAAAGUCUGUGCUUUGUGUUUUCCUUGAGGACCACAAAGGAAUAUUUAGCAGGUAUUUCAACACCUUGGUUGAAGAUGUGAAGUUUUGAAACCCAUGAAAAGUUUUCUGUGUUGAAAUGCCUCUCUCCAAGAAAAUAAUGGAGAUAUAGAGAGAGUAGAAGUUCAUGGCUCCUGGAGCUUUUUUCCAGUAAAUUCAGAAAGAGUGGGACAAAGGGCAAGAUGCUUUAAAAAAUACAGAUUAUCAAGAAAUAUAAUUCUGUCUAUUUUUAAGCCUCAUCUGAGAUAGAGAUUAAUAAAGAUGAAGAUAAACCAAACCAAAUAAGGAUGAUUUAAACCUUUUUUUCUUAGUCACAACUGCAACUGCAAGUCUUGCCAGUGAGUAUUUUCGAUUUCUACAUGUGUAAAGUUGUGUUCAUUUUCCAUUUGUUCAUUGACACCUAAUCAAACCUGAGUUAUAUACUGACCAAGCAGUUUUCAUAAAACCUAUGUUUAUGAACACGAGAGAGCCAAAUAGAAAACUUGGAGGGGGGUAGUUUGGAGGUUUUUGGUUUAUUUUUUUGCUUGUUACAGGUUAGGAGUGUUUUUAUCAUACAUCUAUUAGAAGAGUGUUAACAAAGGAUUACAAGAGUUGAGGGUGCAUAUUUAACUGAGGGAUAUUAUACAAAUUUUUUUCCAAAAGAAAUGAGAGAACAAAUUGUCUUCCAGACAAUUUGGAUUCUACCAAAUUUCAGACCCCUCCAAAUAUUUUUAAAGCCCCCAGAAUGAACUAAAAAUAGAAAUCUUGCUAGCUCUCUCAUAGACUAGAAUUGGCUCUCUUGAUUACAGGCUUUGAAGAAAAGCCAUAUCCUGACUCAGCAGGCAGUUCACUGGUCAGAACAGGAGUGGUUUUCCCAUGUUCUCUGGGUAACCCCCAGCUGUGCAGGCUGCCUGCAGAAGCCUGGGGGCUUUGUAACUACAUUUGCAAACUUCUCCAGCUGCAGAGGUCUUCAAAUGGCAGCAAAGUCAGUGCCUAGAGUCAGGCAGUGUAUUCCAUGACCUUGAAGCUUGGUUGCGUUUUCCUGCCCUCUUGAUAGGUAAGCAGCUGUAUUUUUUACACACAAUUUAGACCCCAAGGAGGACAGGAAUGAUUUAGCAAACAUCCAAGUACUUCACAAUGAGACGUUUUCGAAUGCAAGAUUUCCUUUGAGAAAUACCCGUUUCUGUCACUUUUUGAAAUACUAUGUAUUCUUACAUUCCAUUUUACAUCGCUAGCCACAUUUCAUGACUAAAUCAUCAGCAAGGUUCAAUUAAAUUUUUUUCUCAGCUUGAAGAGGAAAACAAUGUCUUAAAAACUUAGCUAAAGAAUGAAGCAACACGCAUUGCUUCUUAUGUGGAGAAAAGAUUUUCAGUGGAACCUGGAUUAUCUUUAUGAAUCUUCUUUUUUAUUUAAUACCUUUCUUGAUUGUUUUAAUAUUUUCUUGGAACAUAUUUGCCUUUUAACUACUUUUUUGUCCUUAAUUUCACCUGCUAAGAGGAGAGCUGAUGUAGAAGGGAUUUUUGAGUAUUGCUGUGCAACUACCUUCAGAUGAAUCCCUGAACUUGUUUCAAACAAUGCUGCUGUUGGAGCAUUGAGAAAUCAGGAAGCAAAACUUGCCUUCCAGCUCCUGGCCCUCUAGCUAAAUGACAGGUAAGACUGAAAAAAGGCAUUAAAUUGCCUGUAAUGGGAGUAGUUAUUUAGUUAAAUACAGGUCUGGGUAGGACCAUGUCCCUUUCCUAUGCAAAGUAUUUUCAAGAAAGUAGGGAUUCACAAUUCUAAAAUUUUCUAGAUUGUAAGGAGCUGGAUGCUAUUGAUAUCCUUGUUGAUAAACUUUUCUGGGAAGCUUCCAACCUUAUUUGCUUCACAGGAUUUCAAAAAUAGAAGAAGCACCACCACCAGCACUGUGAAGGUUUCUGGUGAGUUGACAUCAAUAUUGCACUCCAGAGUUCUGGAAAGAUUAAUUAAAUUACAGCAUUCAUGUUGUGGGAGGGGAGGGUAAGGCCUGGUUUAUCCAGCACAGAAAAAUGAGAAUGAUGACUGAUCUGUGAGAGCCAGUCAUGGGGAUUAAGGGGAAAGGAAAGAAUUACUUAGAGGAUAUUCUUGGCCCAUGAACAAAUGAGCUUGAACAAUUCAUGAAUAAAUGAAGCUUUUGGAAGAAGCUUAAAUACAGGGUCUGGAACAGCGUUUUGGUCAGGAGAAAUGGGUGAAACACUGACCUACUUUCAGUGGGAACAUGGUUAGUUACGAAAGAAGCCGAUAUAAUGCACUUAUUGAGUGAGCCCAGGAGGUCUCUCCUCAGUCUGUGGUCUGUAUUAAAGAGAGCAGAAUAACAGCAGCAGCGUCAUAACAGGGGUGGUGAUGACUACUGCGUUCUUCAUGGUUCUCAUUGCUUUUCAUAUGUAUCUUUAUCUUUGAUUAAACAAAAAAUCAAAUUAACAAAAUUAUUACGCUUCAUUAUUUUACAGUCAAAACUUUUGAAUAAAGGCACAAUGAACAAAAGUAUUUGUUGAAAGAAGGAAGAAAAAAGAUAGGAGAGCUGUCUUUCUUUUCCUUCAAGUUUUUCUGCGCCUUGUGCAUAUUUGUGAACUUGCCAAGAGCCUGUGUUGUUGGCCAAGUGCUCUCAAUUUUUAGUAAGGUGAAAUUAAAAAAAAAAAAAUAAAAGAAUCAAUGAUA